rnacentral:rRNA from 1 species
AGCAGCCGCGGUAAUUCCAGCUCCAAUAGCGUAUAUUAAAGUUGUUGCAGUUAAAAAGCUCGUAGUUGAAUUUCGGGGUCAGCAGGUUGGUCGUGCCACUGGUAUGCACUGGCCUCGCUGAUUCCUCCCUCUUGUAGAACCGUAAUGCCAUUAAGUUGGUGUUGCGGGGAAACAGGACUGUUACUUUGAAAAAAUUAGAGUGUUUAAAGCAGGCUAACGCUUGAAUACAUUAGCAUGGAAUAAUGAAAUAGGACGAUCGAUCCUAUUUUGUUGGUUUCUAGGGUUGACGUAAUGAUUAAUAGGGAUAGUUGGGGGCAUUAGUAUUCAAUUGUCAGAGGUGAAAUUCUUGGAUUUAUUGAAGACUAACUACUGCGAAAGCAUUUGCCAAGGAUGUUUUCAUUAAUCAAGAACGAAAGUUAGGGGAUCGAAGACGAUCAGAUACCGUCGUAGUCUUAACCAUAAACUAUGCCGACUAGGGAUCGGAUGAUGUUAAUUUUUUAAUGUACUCAUUCGGCGUCCG